GACGAACGCUGGCGGCGUGCUUAACACAUGCAAGUCGAACGGAGCGAAUGAAAGCUUGCUUUUAUGAGCUUAGUGGCAAACGGGUGAGUAACACGUAGACAACCUGCCGAUAGGAUGGGGACAACAUUCCGAAAGGAAUGCUAAUACCGAAUGGCGUGUAGGGGAGGCAUCUCCCCUAUAUGAAAGAUGGCCUCUAUAUAUAAGCUAUCACCUAUCGAUGGGUCUGCGUCUGAUUAGCUGGUAGGUAAGGUAACGGCUUACCUAGGCGACGAUCAGUAGCCGGUCUGAGAGGAUGAACGGCCACAUUGGGACUGAGACACGGCCCAGACUCCUACGGGAGGCAGCAGUGGGGAAUCUUCCGCAAUGGGCGCAAGCCUGACGGAGCAACGCCGCGUGAGUGAAGAAGGUCUUCGGAUCGUAAAGCUCUGUUGAAGGGGACGAACGUACAUAGUGCGAAUAGUGCUGUGUAA
rnacentral:rRNA from 1 species